rnacentral:misc_RNA from 2 species
AACGCACAUUGCGCCCUCUGGUAUUCCGGGGGGCAUGUCUGUUCGAGCGUCAUUACAACCCUCAAGCUCUGCUUGGUAUUGAGCUCUGCCUGUCAAGGGCAGGUUUUAAAAUCAGCGGCGAUGCUACUUGGCUUCGAGUGCAGUAAAUUUCUCACUAUGGAGUCAGGUAUUGUGAUUGCCAAUAAUCUAAUCAAUAAGGUUGACCUCGGAUCAGAUAGGGAUACCCGCUGAACUUAA